rnacentral:rRNA from 1 species
GACGAACGCUGGCGGCAGGCCUAACACAUGCAAGUCGAACGCUGCAGCAAUGCAGAGUGGCAGACGGGUGAGUAACGCGUGGGAACCUUCCCAGUGGUACGGAAUAGCCCAGGGAAACUUGGGGUAAUACCGUAUAAGCCCCUAGGGGGAAAGAUUUAUCGCCAUUGGAUGGGCCCGCGUCGGAUUAGCUAGUUGGUGAGGUAACGGCUCACCAAGGCAACGAUCCGUAGCGGUUUGAGAGAAUGACCAGCCACACUGGGACUGAGACACGGCCCAGACUCCUACGGGAGGCAGCAGUGGGGAAUCUUGGACAAUGGGCGCAAGCCUGAUCCAGCCAUGCCGCGUGAGUGACGAAGGCCUUAGGGUUGUAAAGCACUUUCAGUAGGGAAGAAAUGCUUGGAGCUAACACCGCCAAGUUUUGACGUUACCUACAGAAGAAGCACCGGCUAACUCCGUGCCAGCCGCCGCCGUAAU